rnacentral:rRNA from 1 species
AACGAACGCUGGCGGCACGUUUUAAGCAUGCAAGUCGAAUGGCAGUGGGGGCAACCCCAUGAGAAUGGCGAACGGCGAGUAACACGUAGGUGAUCUGCCUGACGGAUGGGGAUAGCUUGUGGAAACACAGGGUAAUACCGAAUGAGCUGACGAGACUUUGGUUUUGUUAGUAAAGGUGCUACGGCACCGCCGACAGAGGAGCCUGCGGCUGAUUAGCUAGUUGGUGGGGAAAAGGCCUACCAAGGCGACGAUCAGUAGCCGGCCUGAGAGGGUGUACGGACACACUGGAACUGAGACACGGCCCAGACUCCUACGGGAGGCAGCAGCUAAGAAUCUUCCGCAAUGGGAGAAAGCCUGACGGAGCGAUGCCGCGUGAUCGAUGAAGGUCGAGAGAUUGUAAAGAUCUUUUCUACAUGAGGAAUAAGUCUGGGAGGGAAUGCCUGGAUGAUGACGUUAGUGUAGGAAUAAGCCCCGGCUAAUUACGUGCCAGCAGCCGCUGUAA